rnacentral:rRNA from 1 species
AUGUUCAUCGCAGAGUCCGUCGAAUCAACGCCGAACCCUGACACACGAGGCGAAAUACAUCGAAGCACCAUCGGCCUAUCGUCGUUCGCCGCACUCACAAAGCUGCUGGUGGUCGGAGUACCGUCGCUGUUAAUGCCUCCGCACGUGGUGGUCGCCAUCGCAGCACCGAGUCAUCGCCGUCCUAGCGCGCCGAUCACUGCACCCUAUGCACCAUCGCACGGCUCCGGCGCCGAUCACCAUUGCACCCUAUGCAACCAGCACCGAAAAAUGCUACAACCGACGACCAAAAAAGCUACGAGGGCUGUCGUUUUUUGCUACAACCAGUGA